rnacentral:rRNA from 1 species
UGCGUAGGGUGCGAGCGUUAAUCGGAAUUACUGGGCGUAAAGCGUGCGCAGGCGGUUCGUUGUGUCGGUGGUGAAAGCCCCGGGCUUAACCUGGGAAUGGCCAUGGAAACUGGCGAACUGGAGUGUGGCAGAGGGGGGUGGAAUUCCGCGUGUAGCAGUGAAAUGCGUAGAGAUGCGGAGGAACACCGAUGGCGAAGGCAGCCCCCUGGGCUAGCACUGACGCUCAGGCACGAAAGCGUGGGGAGCAAACAGG